rnacentral:rRNA from 1 species
AAGAUUUCCGAAUGAGGAAACUCACUUAGAGUAAUGUCUAAGUAUCAUUAAGUGAAUACAUAGCUUAAUGAGGGGAACUCAGGGAACUGAAACAUCUAAGUACCUGAAGGAAGAGAAAGAAAUUCGAGUCCGUAAGUAGCGGCGAGCGAACGCGGAUUAGCCCAAACCAAUAAAGUUUUCUUUAUUGGGGUUGCGGACAUAUCAUAACGAAGAG